GCUCGAACUGGGGUUGAAGC
rnacentral:miRNA from 1 species